rnacentral:rRNA from 1 species
GACGGGGGCCCGCACAAGCAGCGGAGCAUGUGGUUUAAUUCGAAGCAACGCGAAGAACCUUACCUAGACUUGACAUCUCCUGCAUUACCCUUAAUCGGGGAAGUUCCUUCGGGGACAGGAAGACAGGUGGUGCAUGGUUGUCGUCAGCUCGUGUCGUGAGAUGUUGGGUUAAGUCCCGCAACGAGCGCAACCCUUAUUGUUAGUUGCUACCAUUUAGUUGAGCACUCUAGCGAGACUGCCCGGGUUAACCGGGAGGAAGGUGGGGAUGACGUCAAAUCAUCAUGCCCCUUAUGUCUAGGGCUACACACGUGCUACAAUGGCUGGUACAGAGAGAUGCUAAACCGUGAGGUGGAGCUAAACUUUAAAACCAGUCUCAGUUCGGAUUGUAGGCUGAAACUCGCCUACAUGAAGCUGGAGUUGCUAGUAAUCGCGAAUCAGAAUGUCGCGGUGAAUACGUUCCCGGGCCUUGUACACACCGCCCGUCACACCAUGAGAGUUGGCAAUACCCAAAGUUGGUGAUCUAACCCGUAAGGGAGGAAGCCACCUAAGGUAGGGUCAGCGAUUGGGGUGAAGUCGUAACAAGGGGCCGUAGGA